UCCGUUUUGUCAACGGCAGUCUCGCUAGAGUCCCCGGCUUAACCCGCUGGCAACUAACGAUAAGGGUUGCGCUCGUUAUGGGACUUAACCCAACAUCUCACGACACGAGCUGACGACAGCCAUGCAGCACCUCGACUCCACCCCCUUGCGGGGUACCGGUAUUUCUACCGGCGUUGAGAAGCCGUUCGAGCCCAGGUAAGGUUCUUCGCGUUGCGUCGAAUUGAACCACAUGCUCCACCGCUUGUGCGGGCCCCCGUCAAUUCCUUUGAGUUUCAGCCUUGCGACUGUACUCCCCAGGCGGCAUAUUUAACGCGUUAGCUCCGGCACGGACAGAAUGAACUGCCCACACCAAAUAUGCAUCGUUUAGGGCGUGGACUAC
rnacentral:misc_RNA from 1 species